GACGAACGCUGGCGGCGUGCCUAAUACAUGCAAGUAGAACGCUGAAGGAGGAGCUUGCUCUUCUGGACGAGUUGCGAACGGGUGAGUAACGCGUAGGUAACCUGCCUGGUAGCGGGGGAUAACUAUUGGAAACGAUAGCUAAUACCGCAUAACAGUAGAUGUUGCAUGACAUUUACUUAAAAGGUGCAAUUGCAUCACUACCAGAUGGACCUGCGUUGUAUUAGCUAGUUGGUGGGGUAACGGCUCACCAAGGCGACGAUACAUAGCCGACCUGAGAGGGUGAUCGGCCACACUGGGACUGGGACACGGCCCAGACUCCUACGGGAGGCAGCAGUAGGGAAACUUCGGGAAUAGGCGGAAGGCUGAGCGAGCAACGCCGCGUGAGGGAAGAAGGGUUUCGGAUCGUAAAGCUCUGUUGUAAGGGAAGAACGAGUGUGAGAGUGGAAAGUUCACACUGUGACGGUAUCUUACCAGAAAGGGACGGCUAACUACGUG
rnacentral:rRNA from 1 species